GUAGAGCCUGCAGCUGCACUGUCUCCUUCUGAUGCAGCCAGGAGACCCCAGGGCACCUCCACCACCAAGGGUUCCAUUGUCCGAAAGUGUACAGGGUCUGGUCUGGUAGUAUCAUUGCCAUAGCGCCCCUCAGAGACGCUGGAAUCCAAAUCGGUGGUCCAAUACUCGUUUCUAUUCUUAUGCUGAGGACGUCUUUUCUUUGGUUUACUAUCCAGUGAGAACAUCUCUGCUGGGUGACUGAAGAAGGAAAAGUCAGCAAACUGCAGCCUUCGCGCGUGUCAGCAACAUCAGUUCAUUGCUCCAGCUAAAGAACAAGACUUGUUAACAUCAGUAAUCAAUAAGGAGAUGGAUUGGACUUCGAUGUCAGCAUGUUAUGAGGCCUGUUGGCCGAUAAUGACGAUAUGGGAGAGAAUUAACCAUGCGUGUACAUCAGACUCUCCACCAAAGUCCUGGGGGUUCAGAAGAGGCGACUGUGGAUUCCAAAUAUGGGCUUUUAAUUCCUACAAUGAGAGAUAUUGCGUAGUCUGGGACCGUUUCCGCUCAUACUGGAAAGUGAAAACUCCAUUUGGCCCUACUUUAAAUUUUAUUGGACCUCUCUUUAUAGACAGAUCAGGUAGAGGAUUACAUGUACCGCCAUCACUUACCGUCACUGUAUCAGACAGAGAUAAUCUAUUGCCUGCUGCAUCUUUAGUGGUGGGUAAACACAUGUUACAAAUUACACGUUUUGUUCUUAAACCUACAUAAGUUAGAGAUUACCGUAUUUUACCAUACUAUACAAUCUAGCAGCAGUGGUCGUGCUUGCAUACUAUACGAAAAAGCGCUGGUUCUGUGGGAGCGCUUUUUCCUACAAUGUGCAAGUACAGUCACUGUUGCUGGAUUGCAGGGUGGUCAUAGCCAUGGAAAAAUGUGAUGGAAAAAUUAAUGAAGCCAGCAAAGUAAGCAAUAUGGACAAUCACAAUACAUUAGUAAGUGCCUUGUGUUAACUUUCUCUAUCUGAUAAAUGCCAUUUGCUGAAUGCAUCAUCUACUAACUAUUGUAAAAAACAGCAAUGGCGCAUGUGGUUAUUAAAUGUACCCA